AAUCAUUUGGUUUGUAAAACCAAAAGUUGUUCCAUUUAUAAAGAUCUCGUACAGAGAACAGCAGCAAAUGUUUCAUAUUUCAAUAAUCACUCUAACAAUUGAUUAUUUUUUGUCGAUUCUUCUUUGCCUUAUUUUUCUGUAUUGGAUUAAAAGAAUAUUUUGCACUCGCUGAGUUGAUGACGACAAUAACGGUAGCAGAUAAAAUUAGAUUGUUUAGUGUUUUAAUACUUAAUGCUGUAUAUUAUCGUAUCAUUUGUCCAGAAAAGAACAUUAAUGUAGAUUAUUUAACAGAUUUGUUUUGUAGCAUGUAGCAAGAGCAGAUUUAAGGAAAUAAUCAGCUUUAUUUGACUUACCUAUCCCUUUACAAAUUAAUUUAAAUGUAUGUUUAUGGUAGCAAACAGUAGUAUGUACACCUACAGCAGUUAAAAAGCACUAUUUUAAUCCUUAGAAAGGUAUUUGUUGGAGCUGAAACAUUCCGCUGAGAGAUUAUUUGUGUCAACUGAUUUCACUGUGCCAGUUUUAAGCUCAGAUUGUACCAGAGUUGCUUUAAAUUUUAGAAGGAUAUUUUUGUACAGCAGAUGUUUUACUUGUUUUAUUUUUGGGAAAGCUGAAAGAGCAGUAUAUGUUGUAGACGAUGUGUUGACAAUGUUAGGAAAAGAACUGCUGGCCUUACUAGAAAUGUAAGUUUUGUAUCUUUGUUAAAUCUGAAAGAUCUGAAAGAUCAGCAAAAGUAAAGAUUUUGAUGAAAAUUUGGAAUUGAAAAUGUAUAAUAGUUUAGUUUGCAUACAGCCCCAUUCAGACAGGAUUAAUAUAAAAUAUAAUUGUGAGAGAUCUCUUCUUCAAGGGAAACCUGUGCACAAGAAGACAGUGUUAUUUCUAUAUUAUUUUGUGUAUUAUUUAUGUAAAUCGUAAAUAGAAGAGGAUCAAGAAUAGAGCCCUGUGGGACACCUGGACUGUUGGUUUCUUGAAUUGGAACCACAAAACAACUGCUGCUUGAGUUCUAACAUAAAGAUAGACAUGAAACCAACCAAAAGACCAUAAAUAAUCCUAAAAUACAUAGUUUUUUAUCUGUAGAAAAUAAGAAAUAUCGACAUUAAUCCUGUCUGAACGGGAUUGUAGAGUUGUAGCACUGAUCAGAUCUCCAACUCCAGAGAAAUCAAUCUGUAUCGCCGCCUACAUUUUCAAAACUCUCAAAGAUGUCUCAGAUCUUCCUAUAUUGUGGCGGGUCAGAAUGAACACAUUUUCUUUUGUUCAUAUUUUAUAUUUUUCAUUGAGGGCGCCUGAUUCAUGUUUACAUUUAGGUUGUGACCAAAUAAUCAUAUAAAAUAUAAUCAGAUGUUGAAAUGACUGUGAUCCUGUUUAGGUUGGAAUCAGGUUUUAGGUUAAAAACUCUUUUAAUUAUUUAAACUGUCUUGAUUUGUGAUGAUGAUGCAUGUAACCAAAUAUUAUUAACUUCAAAAUAUUCCAGUUUAAAUACAAACGCUGGCGAAAUGACACUGUUGAGAAUUUAAAUAUAUAAGAAAACCUGCGGUGCUCGCUGAGCUUAGGGUGGACAAAAUAUCUGAAACAUCGUACUGAAUGUGAAAAGAACCAACAGAUGAAGCAUUAACGUGACAAAACAGGCCUUUAAAUAAAUGUAGGAAUUUAAAAAAUUAGAAUUAUUUAUUUAACAUUUGAUGAUUCAGUGAUAUUUAUAUAUUGUGGUUAAUGGUAGGACAUUUAUUAUUAUAUAACAGUUCCUGUAUUGUUCUAAAUGAUAAAUAGCAUGUGUCAUUAAGACCUUUAUAUAGUUUUUGCAUGACAGUUAGACACAUUAGUUAUUUUAAUUAGAUUAUAACGGAGGACAAACAGACAAAUAGAUUCUGUAAAUAACAUUUAUAACGUUUAAUAACAUGUUUGAUGUUAAAACGGUGUCUGGCUCAAACUGUACAUUUAUUUUGCAGGUUUUUCUUUGUAAUGUAUGGAGGCCCAUUUCCACCAGGAAAAUAAUAUUUAGACACUAAGUCAAGAAGUAUGAGAUAAUAACUCAGAAUUUUGACUUGCUUGCUGCUCAUUUCUGCCAGAAAACUGAAGAAAAUCUAUUAAAAAAAUUUGCAAUAAUAAAAAGAAAACAUUAAUUGUUAGUGAAAAUGAUGACGUUAAAAGUUAAAAUAAUAAUAAUACAUUUUGAGCUAUUGGGUCAAAACCAUUUCAUUAAACAUUUUGAUAUACUCCAAAUUUUAAUAAAUCUAAUCAAUAUUUUGACUUACGUAUUAUCCCAUGAUUUUGAUUUAGCAAAUCUUAUUUAUCUCAAAAUUAUUACUUUAAAAAGGCAUCAUUUUGACUUACUAAAUCUGAUAAUUUUAAUUUAGUAAAUAAAGAAAAUUACAUUGUAUCUCAUAUUUUGUUUUAUUAUAUCUUAACUUUGACUGACUUAAUUAUGUCUUUCUUGACAUUUAGUCCAUUUUUUGUGGUGUACCUGGGCUUCCAUAGACCUGAAUUUGUUGUAGUCUUUACUCGUUGUAUCUCUUUACGCUGGAUUUGUGUCUUAAAAUGUAUAAAAACAUGUGAUUUUAGAUUUUAUUUGAGUACAAACACAAGUGUCAUCCUGUAAAAUGUUGUAAAAUGUGGAAAAACUGUUAGUUUUAAUUGUUAAUUAGCCGGUUCUUAUCUUGGUUUUUAUGUUUAUUUGUCAGUAAAAACACAAAAUCUUCCUGAAGCUAAUAAUAAUAGUAAUAAUAAGUUCAACUUAUGUAGCGCAUUUCUGGAACUCAAAGACACUUAACAAUAUAAACGGGAACAGCUGCAUGCUGAUGUACAAAUCCUGUACGUAUGUAGCUUUAUUUUGUAUUAACACUUGUUAAUGGUUUGUACUGUACUGUACAUAUUAGUUCCAGUUUGAUUCUUAGUCGCUUUAAAGGAUAUUUUUCAUACAGCUGAUGUUAGACUGUAGUUAAGAGGUUUUGUCAAACGUUUGCAAAAUAAUGUAGCAGUAGAAAUAUACGAGGAUGGACUGAUUAUUGGUUUACUGAUAUCUACUUCCAGUUAAAAAGCUGAUUGACGAUACGCUGCUGGUGUUUUCUUAUGUUUGUUUUGAUGAUGAUACUUCCUGAAAUACAUAUUUAUGUGAUUUCUUUUAUUAUUUACAGUUGCGCUAUUUUUAAAGAUCUUAGCUAGUUUAGCAGUGGCCUAUCAAACAUGAGCUAGUUUAGCGGUGUCCUGUCAAAUGUUAGCCAGCUUAGCGGUGUCCUGUCAAACGUUAGCUGGCUGUAGACAGCUGGUGUUGCAUGUUAGAUUUAGAGAAGUAUUACAUUUGCAUGAAACUAGACGAGUAGAUUCAGACGCUGUAGCAGCUGUAGAGUUAGACAACACUCACUGAAUAUAACAGUGGUAGCAUGAACGCUGUAAUCCAAUUCUUCCAUUAGUUACUUUAGACUGUUUUAUUACUACUUUUUAUAGUAAAAAGUUAAAAAAAAGUCUGAUGUUUUAAAUCUCUUAGUUUGAUGUUUCAGUUGUCAGUUUCAUGUCUGUGUCCAGUACAAAGAGAGGACGUGUCUAGUUUAGCUUAGCUUAGUUUAGCAUAAAGACUGGAAGCAGGGGGAAUAUGCUGGGCUAGCUCCGUCAAAAGAAAAAAGAAAACACCUUUAAAAAACUCUGAUUUACAUAUCUUACAAAUAUCUUGUCUUUUUAUGCUAGGUGUUAAUAACGUUAGAUAAUAGUGUUAGCUAGUUUAGUUCAUGGUAGCAACAAACAGCAGAUUGAACUGUAAAUGCUAUCUGUUGUUAUUAUAGCCAUAUAUUUAAGUGGUUCAUGUUUUUUGUUUGUAGCUAACUGGUGUUGUACCAAAAAGUGUUUAACUUAGCUUAGCACAAAACGAAACGUAAAACUGCUAAAGCUAAAUAAAAGCUAACUUUAACAGAAAAAACAUCUUCGGGCUAGCUUAGCAUGAACCAGGUGAGGAAAUAGAAAUGUGCAAAUGAGACAUUUUGGUUGUAUCAGCAGUUAGCUAUUUGUUUACCAACAAUUGCUGCUAGGCUAGCAGUUUCCCCCUGUUUCCAGUCUUUGUGCUAAGCUAGGCUAACCACAUCCUGGACAUGUCUCUGUACGGAGAGAGACACAGAGUGUCUUUAAACUCUUGAGAUUAUUGUGCUGCUUUUCUGUGGGUUGUCUUUUGGCUUUGACGCUGUGUCCGUCCCUGUCAGGUGUUUCAGGUGUUUCAGGUGUGUCAGGUGAGCUGUAGGAACUCUGCUUUUAGUUUGACGUCUAAACUUUGGGUCAAAGUAAUCCAUCAUGUCGUUGUCUGGCUGCUAGUUUGUUCUGCUUCUGUUUUAAAUGAAGGAUUAUUCUGGUCUGUUUCAGUAAAAUAACUUUUAAUUGUAUCUGUGAUGUUUCUGCACAACUUUAAUGUUUGAAUAUGUUUUUAUUCCUUUGUGAUGAUUUUGUUGAAAGGGCCUGUACAUUCUGUAAAUGACCUGACUAAUAAACAGUAGCUUUUCCUUGUC